CUGCAGUCUGCAACUCGACUGCACGAAGCUGGAAUCGCUAGUAAUCGCGGAUCAGCACGCCGCGGUGAAUACGUUCCCGGGCCUUGUACACACUGCCCGUCACACCAUGAGAGUCGGGAACACCCGAAGUCCGUAGCCUAACCGCAAGGGGGGCGCGGCCGAAGGUGGGUUCGAUAAUUGGGGUGAAGUCGUAACAAGGUAGC
rnacentral:rRNA from 1 species